GUUUGAUCCCUGGCUCAGAUUGAACGCUGGCGGCAGGCUUAACACAUGCAAGUCGAGCGGAAACGAUGGGAGCUUGCUCCCAGGCGUCGAGCGGCGGACGGGUGAGUAACACUUAGGAAUCUACCUAGUAGUGGGGGAUAGCUCGGGGAAACUCGAAUUAAUACCGCAUACGACCUACGGGAGAAAGGGGGCAGUUUACUGCUCUCGCUAUUAGAUGAGCCUAAGUCGGAUUAGCUAGAUGGUGGGGUAAAGGCCUACCAUGGCGACGAUCUGUAGCUGGUCUGAGAGGAUGAUCAGCCACACCGGGACUGAGACACGGCCCGGACUCCUACGGGAGGCAGCAGUGGGGAAUAUUGGACAAUGGGGGGAACCCUGAUCCAGCCAUGCCGCGUGUGUGAAGAAGGCCUUUUGGUUGUAAAGCACUUUAAGCAGUGAAGAAGACCUAACGGUUAAUACCCGUUAGCGAUGACAUUAGCUGCAGAAUAAGCACCGGCUAACUCUGUGCCAGCAGCCGCGGUAAUACAGAGGGUGCAAGCGUUAAUCGGAAUUACUGGGCGUAAAGCGAGCGUAGGUGGCUUGAUAAGUCAGAUGUGAAAUCCCCGGGCUUAACCUGGGAACUGCAUCUGAUACUGUUAAGCUAGAGUAGGUGAGAGGGAAGUAGAAUUCCAGGUGUAGCGGUGAAAUGCGUAGAGAUCUGGAGGAAUACCGAUGGCGAAGGCAGCUUCCUGGCAUCAUACUGACACUGAGGCUCGAAAGCGUGGGUAGCAAACAGGAUUAGAUACCCUGGUAGUCCACGCCGUAAACGAUGUCUACUAGUCGUUGGGUCCCUUGAGGACUUAGUGACGCAGCUAACGCAAUAAGUAGA
rnacentral:rRNA from 1 species